rnacentral:rRNA from 1 species
UACGGAGGAUGCAAGCGUUAUCCGGAAUGAUUGGGCGUAAAGCGUCCGCAGGUGGCAAUGUAAGUCUGCUGUCAAAGCGUCUGGCUCAACCAGAUAAAGGCAGUGGAAACUACAUAGCUAGAGUAAGGUAGGGGUAGAGGGAAUUCCUGGUGUAGCGGUGAAAUGCGUAGAGAUCAGGAAGAACACCGGUGGCGAAAGCGCUCUGCUGGACCUAAACUGACACUGAGGGACGAAAGCUAGGGGAGCGAAUGGG